rnacentral:lncRNA from 1 species
AGGAAACUACCUUUUUUGUUAAGCUUACGAGUCGCCUCUGGGGCGUUACAGUCACCUUCGCAACUGGCUUCACAUUAAUUGCUAGAAGAUUUUGAUAGCAAUCCCAAUAGCCCUAAUAAAAGAAUGACAAUUGUAAUAAGGUGAUAUGGACUGUAGAUUUUGAAUGACGACAUAUUUUAGCAAGCUCAAGACGUGGAAAAUAUUUAGUAGCUCGGUUGAUUGAUGAUCUGAAGUUUCACCUUGUUGAUGCAGGCUCCAUCAAUUCCUCAUAUUGUAAUCCACUUCCCUCAUUUCUCUUUCCCCUAUCCCAAUAUUUUGUUUUAAAAAAAAAAAACACUCAAAAUACAACAGCCACAAUAAGAACAAUAACAUACCUGAUGGAAUCCCACGAGAUCAAUUUGGGACGCCAUGAUUUUAGGAUUAAACAAAGUAUCCAAGGAUGAAACGGGAAGCUAGGAGAAAUAUUCUAAGCUAUUAUCUCCGUAGAUCAAAUACAUCUAGUUGUGGCCCUCUAAUAGUUAUAGUAAUCACCUUUUCAGCUAGUUUCACAUUACCGGGGGGUUUUGACAGCAAUCCUAAUUAAUAAAGGGUGACAUAUUAUAUGAUGCUUCUAACAAGAACAAUUUUUUGACUUAGCGAAUUUGGCAUCCCUUUAUUAGAGCUAUCGGUAUUGAUAUCUCUUGGCAAUGUGAAACCAGAUGCGAAGGUGAUAUAUAUUUGAGUUGCCUUCAUGAAUCCUCUUGCCUGCUGCGUGUAAACUAGGAGAGUAUAUAUAUAUGAAGGUAAAAAUUGAGACUCAAUAUAUCGAUACUGUGGAAUACUUAACCA